GGCAGGUCUCAGGUGACGCACCUUGGAAUUGGGCUCCCUCCUCUCUGGUUCUGGGUGCGUCACCCGAGAACUGCA
rfam:Myotis davidii contig56806, whole genome shotgun sequence.